rnacentral:rRNA from 1 species
GGGUUUAAAGGGUCCGUAGGUGGAUAAUUAAGUCAGAGGUGAAAUCUUGCAGCUCAACUGUAAAAUUGCCUUUGAUACUGGUUAUCUUGAGUUAUUAUGAAGUAGUUAGAAUAUGUAGUGUAGCGGUGAAAUGCAUAGAUAUUACAUAGAAUACCAAUUGCGAAGGCAGAUCACUAACAAUUAACUGACGCUCAGGGACGAAAGCGUGGGUAGCGAACAGGAUUAGAUACCCUGGUAGUCCACGCCGUAAACGAUGGAUACUAGCUGUAUGUCUACUUCAGGUAGAUGUGUGGCCAAGCGAAAGUGAUAAGUAUCCCACCUGGGGAGUACGAUCGCAAGAUUGAAACUCAAAGGAAUUGACGGGGGCCCGCACAAGCGGUGGAGCAUGUGGUUUAAUUCGAUGAUACGCGAGGAACCUUACCAGGACUUAAAUGUAUUGUGACAGAUCUAGAGAUAGAUUUUUCUUCGGACACAUUACAAGGUGCUGCAUGGUU